GCUAUGUCUACUCAAUUCUUUCUUCAGUUUCUUCUUUUCAUCAAGGUACAAUUGAUAUAUAUCUUUUGCCACUGUAACUCUUGAAGGAAAUUCAAAUGUUGGAAAAAAAUACUUUGUAUAUAAUCGAAAACCUUCAUCUUGUACAUGUCUAAAUGGUAACUCUGCCAAUAAGAAGUACUUAGCAAUCAUUUCUCUAGUCCCUUUUUGAAUGAACUUAACAACUUGUCCAGAACUAGUAAUGCCUUCUAAAACAUCAUUUUUAGAUUUAGUGUAAUAACACACAGUCUUUUGCUUUUUCUCUGGAAUCCUAUAUGGAUAUUUCUUACAUAAGCACUCAAUAUGGUUUCGCAAUGUACUAGUCCUUGCAUUUUUGUUGCCAUACUUGUAAAGUUGCCCACAGUAAAUACACUCUGCCUUUUCAUCAUGCAGUUUAAAAUGAUCCCAAACAUCAGAUCUUUUACCUCCCUUUUACCCUUAGUGGAAUCUGGGUAUUGAUCAACUUCUACACUAUCAACAGCUACAUUUGGCUCAAGAUAAUUUUCUUCUUCAGAAAGGUCAACAUGAUCCAUAUUUGUGAUUCUAACAAUAGCAGAUUAAAAUAUAGAUAUGUCAAUAUGUCAACAGGGGCUAAAUCUUCCCCCUGAACAACAAUAAACCAAGAUACGCAGUAUAUAGCUAGCGUAGUUGAAUUCCUAUAUCAUCCAUAAGAAACAAAAUUGAAGUAAAACAAACUAAAAAUCAGAGGCGCAUGUGUGUGAUUUAAAAAAACAUUAUAUUGUCUAUGCAUGUAUAUGGAUAUAAAUAGCUAAGAAAUUGAAUUAAUCAGUGUUUAAUUUUUUCUGAAAGAAUACUUGAUUACCAAGUGGAUAUCUACUUGUGAACUUGGAAGCCCAGCUAGAGUAGUAAUUAUUUUUUGCGACCAGGAGGUUGCAUUUAAAUGUAUACUAGUGAAACAGAACAUUCUCUUGAGCAAAAGGUAGUUUCCAAAUCCAAUACGGUGGCUAUUCUUAUUUCUCUGCAUAAACAUGGUAACGACACCCCAACUCUUCGAUCAUCCACUAGUACAGGUAAAAAUAGGUCUAUCUGCUAUCAAGAGGAAAGAAGUGUGUUCAAUUUGAUUAAGCUCUUAACAAGCAUGAUAACAGUACCUCAAGAUCAUGUCUAAAACUAAGAUCUAAGCGACACACAUGCUGUACUAAAAACCUUGACCAAUUAUCUAAAUAUCCGUGGCCAAUUUCAGACAGAUUCAAUAUAUUUAACAUGCAUAAGAUCCAAGGUGCUUGAGCUAAAAUUUGUUUUAAACUAUUAAGCAUAGAAAUCCCUAGUUUCUUCCUCUUAAAAUAGACUUUCCAUUUCUGAUAAUAACAUCUUAGCAUCUGUCAUUAUUGUAAAUCAUUAGCCGUGCACCACAGAGAAACAUGCAAUCAACAGAAGAUGAUGAUUCAACAUAAUUUCUAUGUUCAGCUAACAGAUUAUCUCUAAAAACAUGUAAUCUAAAGGAAAUACGAUUAUAAGCAACAAUAGUAAGAAAAAUUACCUUUGAAACCCCAAGAGAAAAGGAAAAUCUAGAUGAGCCAGUAU
rnacentral:lncRNA from 1 species